rnacentral:rRNA from 1 species
GGUCAGAACCGGCGUGCAGGCCGGGUGAAUACGGAUGGGUCAACCGUUAGCGUGAAGUAAGGGGGUUGAUGGUUGCGCAGGAGGGUUGUUAAGUCGGCUGUGAAAUCCCCGAGCGCAACGUGGGAAUGGCAGUGGAUACUGGCAAGCUGGAGUACGGUAGAGGAAGGUGGAAUUCCCGGUGUAGCAGUGAAAUGCGUAGAGAUCGGGAGCAACACCAGUGGCGAAGGCGGCCUUCUGGACCAGUACUGACGCUCAUGCACGAAAGCGUGGGGAGCAAACAGGAUUAGAACCCCAGUAGUC